rnacentral:rRNA from 1 species
GGGAUAGAAUUCCAGGAGUAGCGGUGAAAUGCGUAGAUAUCUGGAGGAAUACCAAAGGCGAAGGCAGUCCCCUGGUCCGAUACUGACACUGAGGUACGAAAGCGUGGGGAGCAAACAGGAUUAGAUACCCUGGUAGUCCACGCCCUAAACGAUGUCGAUUAGCCAUUGGAAGGACCCCUUUUCCUUUCAGUGACGUAGCUAACGCGUUAAAUCGACCGCCUGGGAAGUACGACCGCAAGGUUAAAACUCAAAGGAAUUGACGGGGACCUGAACAAGCGGUGAAUGAUGUGGAUUAAUUCGAUGCUACGCGAAGAACCUUACCUACCUUUGACAUGGCCAAAGUUCUACCGAGAGGCGGAAGUACUCGUAAGAGGAUUGGCGCACAGGUGCUGCAUGGUUGUCGUCAGUUCGUGUCGUGAGAUGUUGGGUUCAGUCCCGCAACGAACGCAACCCUUAUCUUUAAUUGCUCCUAUUUUAACAGGCACUUUAAAGAAACUGCCAAUGAUAAGUUGGAGGAAGGUGGGGAUCACGUCAAGUCCGCAUGGCCUUUAUAGGUAGGGCUUCACACAUCAUACAAUGGUUAGAACAAAGAGCUGCAAAUUCGUAAGAAGGAGCCAAUCUCACAAACCUAACCUCAGUUCGAAUUGCGGUCUGCAACUCGAGCGCAUGAAGCCGGAAUCGCUAGUAAUCGUGGAUCAGAAUGCCACGGUGAAUACGUUCUUAGGUCUU